AAGUGGUAGGAAGCCGAAGGUGACCGACCUUCGGGAGCUUGCACAGGUGCUGCAUGGCUGUCGUCAGCUCGUGUCGUGAGAUGUUCGUUAAGUCCGCUAACGAGCGCAACCCUCGCUGUGUGUUAUAUGUGUCACACGGGACUGCCGGUCUUAAGCCGGAGGAAGGUGGGGAUGAUGUCAAGUCAGCAUGGCCUUUAUAUCCUGGGCUACACACACGCUACAAUGGCCAACACAAUAGGUUGCUAAGCCGCGAGGUGGCGCCAAUCCAUAAAGUUGGUCUCAGUUCAGAUUGUAGGCUGCAACCCGCCUGCAUGAAGAUGGAGUUGCUAGUAACCGCAGGUCAGCUAUACUGCGGUGAAUACGUUCCCGGGGCUU
rnacentral:rRNA from 1 species